rnacentral:rRNA from 1 species
AUUGAACGCUGGCGGCAUGCUUUACACAUGCAAGUCGAACGGUAACAGGGUGCUUGCACCGCUGACGAGUGGCGAACGGGUGAGUAAUGCAUCGGAAUGUACCGUGUAAUGGGGGAUAGCUCGGCGAAAGCCGGAUUAAUACCGCAUACGCCCUGAGGGGGAAAGUGGGGGACCGAAAGGCCUCACGUUAUACGAGCAGCCGAUGUCUGAUUAGCUAGUUGGUGAGGUAAAGGCUCACCAAGGCGUCGAUCAGUAGCGGGUCUGAGAGGAUGAUCCGCCACACUGGGACUGAGACACGGCCCAGACUCCUACGGGAGGCAGCAGUGGGGAAUUUUGGACAAUGGGCGCAAGCCUGAUCCAGCCAUGCCGCGUGUCUGAAGAAGGCCUUCGGGUCGUAAAGGACUUUUGUCCGGGAGCAAAUCCUAGUGGUUAAUAACCGCUGGGUCUGAGAGUACCGGAAGAAUAAGCACCGGCUAACUACGUG